GUCUGUGCCCUUUGCGCGGGCGAGUGUCGGCCUGGUGGUCUGGCUCCAGUGUAAAUACCCUCAUUGGGGCCUUCAAUUUCUGCGUCAAGUGCCAAAUUUGACAACUCAAAGCAAGGAUGCCUCCACCAAUGUCAGCUAUGUGACUACGUGGCUGCUGAACUAUUUCUUCUGGAAGCACAUGCCAGCAUCCAUACUGGCGAGAAGCCAUUUCAUUGCCCUUCAUGCUCUCGGAGCUUCUCACAAAAAUGUUAUCUGAAUCUCCAUUUGCGGACUCACACAGGCGAGAAGCCAUUUGACUGCCCUUCAUGCUCUCGGAGCUUCUCAAGAAAGGCCAACCUGAAAGCCCACCUGCGCACCCACACAGGCGAGAAGCCACAUCAGUGCCCUUCAUGCUCUCGGAGCUUCUCACGGAAGAGUAGCCUGAAAGUCCACCUGUGCACCCACACAGGCGAGAAGCCAUAUCAGUGCCCUUCAUGCUCUCGGAGCUUCUCAAUCAAGGGUUACCUGAAAGCCCACCUGCGCACCCACACAGGCGUGAAGACAUUUGACUGCCCUUCAUGCUCUCGAAGCUUCUCAGAAAAGCGCCACCUGAAAGCCCACCUGCGCACCCACACAGGCGAGAAGCCAUUUGACUGCCCUUCAUGCUCUCGGAGCUUCUCAGAAAAGGGCCACCUGAAAGCCCACCUGCGCACCCACACAGGCGAGAAGCCAUAUCAGUGCCCUUCAUGCUCUCGGGGCUUCUCACGAAAAGAAGACGUGAAAAUCCACCUGCGGACUCACACAGGCGAGAAGCCAUUUGACUGCCCUUCAUGCUCUCAGAGCUUCUCACGAAAGCCCCACCUGACAGCCCACCUGCGCACCCACACAGGCGAGAAGCCAUUUGACUGCCCUUCAUGCACUCGGAGCUUCUCACGAAAGCCCCAGCUGAAACGCCACAUGCGCACCCACACAGGCGAGAAGCCAUUUCAUUGCCCUUCAUGCUCUCAGAGCUUCUCACAAAAGUAUUAUCUGAAUGUCCAUUUGCGGACUCACACAGGCGAGAAGCCAUUUGACUGCCCUUCAUGCACUCGGAGCUUCUCACAAAAGUUCAAACUGAAAGCCCACCUGCGCACCCACACAGGCGAGAAGCCAUAUCAGUGCCCUUCAUGCUCUCAGAGAUUCUCAGUCAACGGUCACCUGAAAGCCCACCUGCGCACCCACACAGGCGAGAAGCCAUAUCAGUGCCCUUCAUGCUCUCGGAGAUUCUCACAAAAGGGCCACCUUAAUACACACAUGAGGCGAGAAGCCACUUCAUUGCCCAGUCUGCCUUCAGUGAUUCUCGUUGAAUGCCCUGAAGAUACACCAGUGCAUUCAUAAAAGUUACCAGCCAUAUAGUUGCAUUGCCUGCUUCAGUUCCUCAUCACUUGAACAGACUUGGAGAGCACAACGCAAUGAUUCAGUUCACUUUAUUUUCAACACCACAAUGUUGAGGACCGCGAACAAAAAGCUUUUGUGGCUUGACAAGGUCCGCAGCCCUUUUUAACAAGCAGUGACAGAGCAUAGGGUAAGGUAUUACAUAUUAAUCUAGAAUUGCCCAUGUCCAAAUAACACGAGUGUCAGACAUAAUGCAUAUAUAUAAUAUAUACAUACAUAUAUGUGUAAAAUGAAUUCAAGUGAAACAAUGUAUACUCACGUACAAUUGAAACCGAAGGAAUUAACGCUAAUUACUAAUGCACAUUAUACAUGUAUGAAAACAAAUUUGUCACACAAAACAUACUGCAAUGCACAAUUCGGCAAAUGCACUGUUAGAAAAACAAUUUGUUCCAUUUUUCCAUACUCUAGGGUAGUUUAACAAUCUCGUUGAGCUAGAGUCUGAAUUAAAAAUCUACAUUCGUGUAGCAUGUUGCGUAGUGUUCUACUGCAUCAGGUAGGGCAAGCUGCCAUUUUGUGAGAAGUCUCCACAUGCUCUUGAGAGCAAGCUUAACUCGGGCCCAACUUCGAUGCCACCUAUUCAAAUACAUGUAAAACGCAAAAAUGUUUUUCUUACGUAACCAGUGGGUUGAUUAUUGAAAUUUCUUACAUUUGAAAGAAAAAGCUAAAUUCUGGUGACUGCUGGAAGCAUAAUUCAGUUUGAAGGCCUGAAUGUUAUAACAGGAAUUUACAAAGAUUUUUCAUCUUUGAAAACAUUGGAGCCAGAACUUUAUAAAUUUUUAACUCUGCACGUGGAAUAGAUAUCGUAGCUCUGUAAACUGCAUACGCUAGAUAUUCCAAAGCGGACAAAUUUGAUGUAUCAAUGUAUAUCUUGUCAACUUGUUACGCUGUUUACAGGAACUUUGGUGAUGUCCUACUCAUUUAUUAGUGGCUUAUUUUAACGCUUUCUUUCAUACCUAAAUAUUGUCCGCUUUAGGUGUCCUAUUUGGAGCAUUUUACAGAAUUGCAGUAUUUUUCAUUGCUGAGUUAACAGAGUUGUAAAUUUCAUAGUUUCGUUUUUGAAAAUUCGUGAUUUUCAACAAUAGCUAUUAAAAGAUUGAUGGCCUAAAUCAAGAAUUGACUACCAACAGUCACUAGAUUCUAUUUCUUUUAUAUGCAACAAGCCUCAUCUGGUUUCGUGCAGUAGUUCUCAAGAAAAAUGAUCUCUCCUUUCCCAUGUAUGUAGGUGAGAGCCCCCAAGCUGAAGCUUGCUCUUAAAGGGUCUCUGAAACACUUUUGUGGGGUUAGGAUAUUUUCUCUAGAUCUUUUCUCAACACGUUAUGGAACACAGAGCAAAAGGAUUUACGAGAACUAACCCACAUAAAUCCGUUGUAGCUGAGAAAAAAGUCAAAAUACAGUUAAACUUUAUUUAAAAGAAGUCGGCAAAAUCAGCUAUUUUCUUUGUUAUAUUGUGGCUUUUCAUAAUUUGAAAAGUAAUUGAUGUUCAUUCGUGUCUUCAAAAUUACUGUUUGCAUGCCCCUACAAACUAUGUACGUUCACUGUAAUAAUUGUUACACUACAGAUGUCUAAACGAUGUUUUCUUUCGGCUCUGUUUUUUUUUCAGUGUUCUCUUUAGUACAUAUGAACUUGUUCUCUUAGACGAAUUCAUGUAUUUGUUGGCUCUUGGUUCUGGUCUACAUGGUUCAUCGUGGAUUCUUUUGAUCUUAUUCUAUUCGCGCCUUUCCCUUUUUUUACAAAUGGGUACUUCUUUCGAGAAAUUGCUUGUUCAGUAAGCUAGCUUUCCACUGUCUGUUUCAUCAGAGCAUCAAAUAAAUGCCAUUGUUUGGUAAGUAUUCGUUGUCUGUUCUUGAUAUUUCAAUAAGUUAUUGACGGCAUGCAAUAUAAAGAUGCUAGCAUUUUAUUAUAUCUGGCGCUGCAAGAGAAGUUGAAUGACGGCAGUUGGAACUUCAUUAUUAACACAAAAGGAGCCUGUUAUAAGUCACAUAGAUGAGUAAUGAAAUCUUUGAGUCGAAUAUCAUGUCCAGCAUACUUAAGUUAUUCUUACAUCUUAUUUCAACUAAUGUACUAGCAUUUCUAUGAGCACUAGUGCGACACAUUUGUAGGAAUAUUUGUAUAAACUUUACAUAUUGAAUUGAGCUGAUAAGCUUGCACUGUGUAAUACAUUUGUGUGCAGAAGCAUUGAAAUUGGGCCAAUCCUGUGUUUAGAAAGUUGAAAAAGAUGCUUUCUAAAUUGCAGUUGUACUAGUCUCUCAUCAGGAAUUUCCUCACUGACAAAAUUGUGUACAGGACAUGCUUUUAAGAUAAUAAAUACAAGGGUUUACUGUUUCCA